UACGUAGGGUCCAAGCGUUAUCCGGAAUCACUGGGCGUAAAGCGUGCGUAGGUGGCGUGUUAAGUGUGAUGUUAAAUCGUGGGGCUCAACCCUGUCGCUGCAUCACAUACUGGCACACUAGAGGACGGCAGAGGCAAGUAGAAUUUGUAGUGUAGCAGUGAAAUGCGUAGAUAUUACAAGGAACACCAAUGGCGAAGGCAGCUUGCUGGGCCAAUCCUGACACUGAGGUACGAAAGCGUGGGGAGCGAACAGG
rnacentral:rRNA from 1 species